AACAAAAGCAAGCAUUUCACAUGAUAACAGUGGCUCUCUAGGGCUGCCCAAACUCAGUGUACUCAGAAUCAACGGAUGUAAUUUAUCAACUGCUGAUUUCAUUAGGAGUCUUGAUUGCUUGGAAACAUUAACCGAACUUGAUCUCUCAAGUAACAAUUUUGUUAGUGUUCCUGCACUUAGCAAAUUUGUCAACUUGCCAAGGAUUGACUUGUGUAGUUGCAAGAGACUUCGAGAGAUUCCAGAGCUUCCACAAAAUAUACUCAAGGUAGAUGCGAGGGAUUGCGAAUCACUGGAGAGAUUUUUGAUAUUGCCAUAGUCUUUGAACAUGCUAGAUAUUAUCUUGUGGAAUUGCCAUAGAUUUAGUCACAGCCUGGGCGAUGACAUAAUGGAAAAUAUUUUCCUGAAUAAUCAGGAAGUCCCGGUUUAGGCUUGUAUUACCCCGGUAGUGAGGUUCCGAAGUGGUUCCGUUGUUCGAAGGAGGUUGCUGCUAAUGAAAAAGGCCCGUGCAAUGCAUGUGCAAUUUCUUUUGAAAUCCCAAGCAAAUUGAAUUGGGAGAGCAUAGGAGUGGCUGUUUGUUUCCAUUUCUUGGUUUAGUUUUAGGACUCGCCGUCCAGCUGAUAUUUCCAUCAAUGGGGCACUCAUAGAUUAUCACGAGAUGCCCAGUUCAAAGCGAGACCUUAUGUUGCUAACUUAUAUUCCAUUAUCUGAUGAAAUAAAGGGAAAGGUGGAUCAAGAGGAUUGGCCGCGUUAUCACUGUCGAGUUCAAUUUCUCUCUGAUGAAAUUAAAAGCUGUGGAGUUCACCUCGUAUGCCGGCCACCGAAAUACCGAAUGAGAGUGGUAUGCUAUACUGGCUUUCGUCGGCGAAUGCAAAACAAAAGAGGCCUCGUAAUGGAGCCAACGACGAUUAUCACCAUCAACAAGAGCAGCAGGAGCAACCAUCAAUGCCUCCCAUCCCCGAUUACUCUGCAUCUUCAUCUGCAUCCACCUCAGAGUAAAUCUUCCAGACUUCUGAUUGGCAAGCAAAUCUUGAUCUUCCCAAUUUGCUGUCAACUCUCACGAAUCUUGAUCCUACCUCACCAACCACUCCAUAGUGCCAUGCAAUUAGAUAUGUUCUUUCACAGACUAGCUGCUAUUUUCAGGAGAAUAUUGGUGGUAAUCAGCUAGCUAGGCCAUGCAAAUUAAGAUUUUCCACUCAGAAAGGUUACAGACUCUGGCCAAUUUGACUACAUGCUGAAUGCUGAUCUAACUGAAUUUGAGACGACUGCAAAUAAGCUAGAGCCUAGAAGCAAAGGAUAAUAUUGGUGGCAAUCAGCUAGGCUCUACAAAUCAAGGUAGUCCAUACUCCAUACAAAUUGGUUGACACGAUUCAGUAUUAAUAUUUGGUUUCACUUUGUUACUUACAAUUUAAUUAAUGUUAUCUUGUAAUAAUGUUUCUGGGUGAUUAAUGGAGCAAACGACGAUUAUCACCAUGAACAAGAGCAGCAGGAGCAACCAAUCCCUUCAAAACGACACUGCACUGAGGAGCAACCAUCAAUGCCUCCCUUCCCCGAUUACUCUGCAUCUGCAUCCACAUCCACCUCAGAUCAGAUCUUCCAGACUUCUGAUUGGCAAGCAAAUCUUGAUCUUCUUCCCGAUUUGCUGUAGACUCUCGCGAAUCUUGAUCCUACCUCACCAGCCACUCCAUAGUUCCACCAAUAAUAUAUGCCAUGUUCUUUCAGAGACUAGCUGCUAUUUUCAGGGGGGACUAUAGAUUUUCCACUCAGAAAGAUUACAGACUCCGGCCGGCCAAGUUGGCUACAUGCUGAUUGCUGACCUAACUGACUUUGAGACGACUGUAAAUGAGCUAGAAGCAAAGGAUUGAGAACAUGGAAUAUGAAAUGCAGCACUUCAAGCAAAAUCUUCCUAGCAUAUGUACAUGCGACAAGCAUAUUAAAUUUUCCUCUACAGGUGUGUGCUGACCUUCUUGAGGAAGAAGGAAUUGGUUUUCAUUGUUCUAAGCAUGGAAUUGAUACUGUGAGUAGUUAUGCCUUCUUGGAGUUUGCCUCUGUUGUGGAUUCAUGCAAGCAAGCAUUAAUUAUGUGCAUCAAUUCGGCAGCAGAAAUUCAGUAGCUACCACCAAUCUGGAUGUAUAUAUAGUGGCACCCGAGCCAGCGAUCAUAUGUGGCGGUUGAUGAGGGUUUUCGAUCAUAAGCAAGUGGCAUGAGUCUCUUUAGAGGCUGCUGCAGGAUCAGGCUCUUUCCAAGAAGAGAUCAUUGGUGGCAGUCAGCUAGGCUCUGCAAAUCAAGUGGGAACUAUAAACUUUCACUUGGAACAGUUGCUGAGUCGGGCAAAAUCGGGUACAUGCUGAUCUGUCUAAAUUUGAGACGAGUGCAAAAAGAUUAGAAGUAAAGGUAACAAGCAAACCUGCAUAGCUCCCAUCAGUCAACUACUCCACAGCUUCAACAUCAUGAGAAAGCAACUGAGUUCUCUGUAUUCAGAACCAACAAAACUUCGUGAAAACUUUCGUGGUGCAGUUGAAGGUGAUCAAAACCCAUAGCUGUCUUUUUCUCUGCAACCAACACUACCAUCCACUUCAGUAAAACUAUCUCCAUGGUGGUGCUGCUGUACUAUAUGCAAGGUUGUUUCAGAAUAACAGUGUGUGUGUAUAAAGGGCAAGUUUCACAUUUUCAGCCUAGCAGCUGUUACUUCGGAAUUGACCAAAUGGCCCUAUCACUUUGCACUAUAAGCACUACAUAGAUGGAAUCAAUGAAGCCAUGGUGCUUUGGAUCUGGUUGGUGCUUGAGAUUGCGUACAUGAUGAUGGGGAAUAAUGGUAUCAAAACUGUUUGUAGUUGUCCUCAUUGUUGAUCCUCAAUUGAUUCCAUUGUUGUAGGAGAACAUUGGUGGUAUCAUCUAGCUAGUAAAUUCAAAUUAAGGUAGUCCAUGGUUCCAUACAAAUUGGUUCAUAUGAUCCAUUAUUAAUGUUUGGUUCAUUUUCUUAGCUGUCACUGUGUUACUAUG